rnacentral:rRNA from 1 species
AGCGAACGCUGGCGGCAGGCCUAACACAUGCAAGUCGAACGCACCUUCGGGUGAGUGGCGGACGGGUGAGUAACACGUGGGAACGUGCCCUUUGGUGCGGAACAACUGAGGGAAACUUCAGCUAAUACCGUAUGUGCCCCCAUUCUUAGCGGGAUGGGCGGGAAAGAUUUAUCGCCAUUGGAGCGGCCCGCGUUGGAUUAGGUAGUUGGUGGGGUAAAGGCCUACCAAGCCGACGAUCCAUAGCUGGUCUGAGAGGAUGAUCAGCCACACUGGGACUGAGACACGGCCCAGACUCCUACGGGAGGCAGCAGUGGGGAAUCUUGCGCAAUGGGCGAAAGCCUGACGCAGCCAUGCCGCGUGAAUGAUGAAGGUCUUAGGAUUGUAAAAUUCUUUCACCGGGGAAGAUAAUGACGGUACCCGGAGAAGAAGCCCCGGCUAACUUCGUGCCAGCCGCCGCAGUAA